CCUGUUGGGGUUCAGCGGCGCUGGUGCUAUUUGCACUGCUUUCCCCUGAGCCUUUUGGCCUCGUCUGCAUGGAGAGGCUCUGGAAGCGCCAUACAGGUGCCAGGGUGCUGCUGCCAUGUUUGCUUACGUGAUGGUGUCCAAGCCACCCUUGCCAUGCCACCCAGCUCUCCUUGCAAAACAGCGUGAGGCACACAUGCGUGUUGCCAUGCAUGGUGAUGUUUCCAACACAAAUGGCCCUUGCACAGUUGCCGUUAGUGAGGCACUUGGUGCAUGUGCAGCUCUUCGACUAGGUGAUACCCCAUCACCACACAUGUGAAGGUUGCUAUAAUGCAAAACCGUCCACUCGAGUGCUGCUGCAUGGUUAUUUUUUAGCUCAGGGUGUCCCCCCAUAACAUGCUGUGGUUCCCCUCUGCCCUGCUUUCUUUUCUCUGCCAAUUAUUAUUCUAAAAAGAGGUGCCCAGGGAAAGGUGGUGCUGUAGGAUUGGCAUUUAGACCUGCUGGAGUGCCCCAGGGAAAGAAAAGCAGCACCGCAAUGCGACCUGAUGAAGUGACAGUAGGCUUCACUGGUGAAAGUGUUGGGCAAAAGAGCACAAAACAGAUGAACAGAAAGGUUAAAGCUGUACGGUGAGACCAGAGAUUUCUUAAGACUGGUGCAAGUGUAUCUUAGCCCCAGUAGGUAAGAAGGAAAACAUCCGCGACUGCAGAAGUUUCGGAGAAAGGAAGCUCAUGGAAUGAAGACGGGAUGGAACGAAGCUCGUGGAAUGAGACUCCGGAACAUGUUGCUGCUACGAUGGGUUGAACCUUCACUCAGACAAGAAUAGUUUGCCUUUAAGAAAGGGUUCACUCUACAACUGCUGGAAGAAGGAAUGCACUUCAGAGUGACUCUUGGAGCCUCCGUAAUGAAAGCAUGCCCCCUGCCAUGCCUGCUUCCAGGGCACAUGUAAAAAUACCCUCGGAUAUUGAAGAGAAUCUUACCAUUUGGAAUCAAGAAGAGAAAGAGAAGACGAUUAGUAAAAGGAACUGCUGCUAAGUCCAUCAAUGACAUGCUGAAUAUGAAGGCUUUUACAGGUAUUCAUAAUGUGUACUCUGCUUCUUAAAGAAAGAAAUAGCUCAAGAGUCACCAGACAAUUCAAAUGGCCUAAUGAUUGCCUGAGUGCCAAUUAAUAGUCUUUAUUGUAAUUAAAUUGUUUGAUGUAAGAGAACUUAAUACAUGCAAAAAAAAAAGGAACACGCAGUGAAAACAAGAACACGACAGGCAUGCAUACUUUAUAAACAGAAAAUGUUUAAAGAUCAAGAUUAUCUUUGGGUCCAGUUUCUCAUAGUAUAUAAGUUGUCAUUUUUAAGCUACAUAGAAAAUGAGAAUGAAACAACAGAUUGGUUUAUUCUACUCUACCUGAGCAACAAACAGAUUACAAUUAGGGUAGCUUCUAUUUUCCUUUUUGCGUCUAAACAACACUUAGUUGCAGGGAGCAAUUCUACCCCGUAGUAUUGAUAUGUAAGUGUAUGCAUGUAGUUUGAGCAUUUACAUGGCUAUGUACACAUGCCCAUUCUAGACAUGUAUGAGCAUCCAAGUUCAGAAAACGUAUACAAGCAGAAA